UGGUUGGAGGGAAAGAAAAAGGGUCCUCUGUCCCUUCAGCUCUCUUGAGGCAACAACAGGGGAGCAGCACAUCCCUUCCCAAGCCAAAUAACCCUGCCAACACAGUUGCAAAAGCACACAGAUUUGACAAUGAUGAGCCAUAUCUUCUCCUCCAGUCAUGGCUUAGCCCUCCCACGUGUCCAAGCAGCUCUCCAUCCUCUGCCACCGUGGAUUGGUGAAAACCUCCAUCCUCCCAAGGAACUCACACACCACCAUGUUUUGUAAAUACAUGUCCCAAGGACGUGGUGUUAAUACUUCACAAUUAUUUUUUUUCCCUGCCAGAAUGAGUUAACACUGGAGUCUCUGUCCUGGCUUCAAAUUUCCUGGCUUUCCCCUGUCUGCGUCAGGACAUAAUUCUUUCCAGCCAGCCUUUUCCUCAGAUGUUCAGAGUUAGCAUUGGGAUCCCUGCCAGCUCUCCUUCCCAAAACAAACACGGAGCCUCUUGAUGCCAAAGAUUUGCCUUCUAUUCAGUUCCCCAGGGAUAGAACUCUUGGCUUUACAAGCAAUGCCCCGAUUUUCAUUUCAGCCUAUGUAUAUAAAUAAAAAUGCAGCUUUACAGAGCCUUGUCUGCUCUAGAAAAGACUUGAUGGCGUGUCCCUACAAGCUGUCUCUCUCCAUCAACUGUAAAUAGAGCUUCAAUUAAUUAAUGAGAUUAUCUGCCAAGUUAGUACACAUUGUUUCAGCAAGGAAAAUAAGGCUUAUUGUCAAAUUGCUUUUUGCUGGUGCAAUCAUGGCAGCAGCAGAGAUUUUGCUAGUAAUAAAACCACCCACCCAUUAUUAAACCACUCUGGUUCCAGUGUAAACCUGGUCUUAAACUAAUGCCCUGAAAAGUGAUAAAAUACUAUUCCCAUCUCGGUAAAAAGCUUUUCUUCCCCUGCAGCAUCUCUGAGUUCACACCUUCUCUGCCGUGGUGACCUGUGUGCUUUGCCUGGAGGGCUGGAAAUUGCAGAGCUGCUGGUGGCUGAUGAGAAAUGAUUCAAAGGAGGUGUUGCCCUGAGCCCUGCAGAGAGCAAAGCACAGCCCUGCACUGCUCCCCGUGGGGUACAGCUGAAAUUUGGACAGAACCUUUCUCUCUGCCCAGGGACGUGUCCUUCAGGCUCAGGACAGGGGAAAGGUGUGUCCUCCAGCAAGCCAAGGCUGCUCCCUCUGCUCUUGGAAGGAAAACAAUGGUGCAAAGGACGUGGCAGAGGGCUGAAAGCACUCGAGGGAAUGCAGCUUCAAGGGUGAUUUCUGGUAAGCUUGGCCUGAUAAAAGCCCAUUUGCAUGCAUUAAUCCUGCCACAGUCAUUAAAAAAGCGUGGUAGCUGAGACCUCCCCAAAGCAGUAAUUUCACUGGCAGUGACUUGAUUACUUGGAAUUCUUGGUACAUACUCCAGGGCUCUCUCACUGCUUUAAUACUCCAGUAUUGUUCUAGUACAGACAAAACUAAGAAAGCCAUUUUAUCCCCAUUGGGAAGGCAAAGUCCUGAUGCACUUCAGUUUCUCAUUUUCCUGAAGGGGAUUUAUCCUCUGUUUGCCUUCCUGCUAUCAGGAGAAAAGUGCCAUUUGCUGCUUUUGCCUCCACGUUUCAGGGCAGAGUCCACCAACUCUAUCACAACUGAUAAAUUUCCUUAUGAGUGAACAGUUGCUCCAGGAAACUGCUUCCCUGCUCCCAGCCUCCCUGGGCACCACUGGCAGUCCACAGCCCAGCUUCCAAAAUCAGCAACUUCCCACUGAGUUCCAAGGAGCCAGGGGUCUGUGGUGGGUGUACACAAAAGGUUUGCCAUUAGAGGAAACUAUCAGGAGGAUUUCAGCUAUCUGAAAGUAUUUAUCAACCCAGCCUUGCCAGUCAGUGUUACAGAACCAAACACGUGGCAAUGAUAUGGCACACGUGGCAUGGAAUCACCACAUUAUCUGCAUGACCUUCAUCAAAGAACCACAGAGCUUUUCUGUUGGCAUUAUGACACCUCACCAUCAAAGAAAACAGCUCUUUGGGAUAUUUUUGAGCUCUUUUUAGUCCCCCCAAGGUCUCCUUAGCAAAGAUUGUUAUUUCUGUUCCCUAAUGCCAGGGAUCCCUUAUCACAGAGAAGUCUCCUAGCAUGUGAGAUGAUACAUGAACACACAAAAAGCUUUUAAGAGCUUACAGGCUGAAUAGAAGGCAGAUGGGAGAGCCCAAGAAAAGACAACACUGGCCUGCCUGGGUGACAGUGGCCAUGACAUAUGAGCAGCUUAGUCACUGCCAAGUUUUGCCAAAGCAGCUACAACUCGCAGUUGAAUAAUUGCACUUUUUCAUUGCUAAAUAACAAAAACAACACUCAACAUAAUUAUUUCAGUUUGAUACGUGGAAGAGGACCAUGCCACCAACUUCAGAUUUAUUACCAUUUCAUCACAUCAAGGGUUUAACUCCAGCACCCAGCUCUCAGGACCCUUCCUUCCAAAACCAGGCAUGUCCAUAACUCACCGGGGUGCAAAGGACAGCUUGAAAACAAAACCUGGGUUCACACACAAGAAUUAAGAGACCAAAAGAAAAACCACUAAUGAUUCUGGCUCCUUUUCUUAAAAUACAGUUAAAUGAAAAGAUACUCUCUAGAUUUCUUUGCCACUGCCAGGAUGUUCUGCGGCUGAUUCAUAAACCAGCACGUCUGGGGAUGCAGCACAGGCUGACAGUUCCUACCCAGCUGGAGUACAAAACAUGCAAUCCAGCCAACAGCUUUGUUCAAUUAUGGUUCAAAUCCACUGCAGUUUAUUUCUGGAAGUAUUUAAAAUGCCUGUCCUGAAGGCAUUAGGACCACUGCAACCCAGUGAGUCAUCCACCUGACACAGACAGGUAAUAAGUCUCACUGUGUUUACUAAAGCUUUCUGUAGGACUCUGUGGGUGCUUCACAUUCAGGUGAUGUAAAACAGCCCAAGGGACAGACACCUACAACAGUCUGGGGUCCAGGGCUAAUUUUCCCUUAGUAACCAGUUAAAAUCCACCAGUUAAGGAGCACCACAUACAGGAACUUGAGCACUAUCUAGAGGGACACAGUAACCUGGUGUUAAACAUCCCAUUAAGCACUGAGAGGGAGAAACCCAGCAGGAUGAAGAAGAACCUUGUGAACCAAAAAGGCCUUGAGCUUGUAGCUCCCAAACUGUGGGAAGAAUAACAGGAGCUGAUGCAGAUAACAUUAGACUUACUGGAGAUGCAAUAACAGCCUUCAUGUGGCUCAGGUGGAACAUGAUACAGCUGAAGGAAGGUUCAGGGGGAGAGGCAGGGUCAGACAUGUGGAGAUGCUCACUGGAAGCCAGGAUGGAGGGUCAGAAAUUCCUGUUCCAGUGGGACACAUGGCAGCCAUGACUCACAUAUCACAUUACUGGUAAAUUUACCCCAUUUCACGCUUUCUCUUGGGCAGGAGACACCAUACCCAGCUUUUCCAGGAAGCAUAUUGUAUCCCAUCAGGGGAUUUGUGUGGGCAAGGGGUAAGAGUGCCCCAUAAGAGCAGAGCUCAUGUGCUACCUACGAAAAAUAGGCAGGUAUUUGGAAGGUAGGUAUAGGUAGUGCCCUCAGGGGAGCUCACAGACAACAUGGAAAGCAUUAAAUUCUGAUGGGAGCAGCAGCUGGCUCCUAUCAGAAAGACACUAUCUGUAUCCUUUUAAAAUCCUUAGUGUUUCUUUUCUCCCUGGGAAGAUGGGAACAGCCUACCAAGGUCAUCUGCACUCUGCUGGCCGAGGAAGAUGUGCCGAGGCUGCAGCACAGCUCAGCCCGUCCGGGUGGGAUGCCUUGAACAGCACCGCGUUCCUGCAAAAAUAACUGUGCCAGGCACAACUCGAGAUUGAACCAAGGCCCCUCAUCAGUGCCGGAGUGGAUGAACAGCGUCACUGCUUCCCACCGCCAGUGGGCUGCGAGGCAGCGGCAGCGCUGAUGGAAAUUAGUCUCUUUAUGGCUGGCAGGCAGAACUGCAAGCUCAUAUCGAUGCAGAGCACAGCUCGACACAAAAUGACCCCCUCGGCAAUGGCACCGUACCAAAUAAAGCGGCGUCUCAACUUA